rnacentral:lncRNA from 1 species
AGGGAGGGCCGGGGCAUAAAUUUUGGAGGAGAGGAGAGGAUGGAGGAGGAGGGGCGAGUGCUUCGUGGGGCCUUGCGGCGGCUCAGAGUCCCUGGCGUGACCUUCCCUGCCACGGGGACAAAGGCCGGCAGGGCGGGCGGCGCCUUUAAGGACGUGGCACGGCGGGGUCGGUGCCAGGAGGCGCCGGGCGCGCCCCGGGGGAGACGCGCUGCGGGCGGAGGAGAGCUGGCGCUCUCAGCCCGAGGCCCCAGGGGCGCCCUGCGUGGUCAUUUGCCCUCCUUGCCCCACUCGCUUGGGGUGGGGGCUGGGUGGACAAGGUCCUCGCCUCUGUUCCGGGCUCGGUGGGGGCGGGGAGCUCCGCGCGCGGGAUGCGGGAUGCGGGGGUGGAAUGCAGACCCCCUGGAGGGACCCGGCGGACUCAGACGAGCAGGUCGGACACCGGCUGCCCGGACUGGAGCUGGAGCCGCCGCCGAGCGUUCUCUGUUGUAAAAUGUAGCCAAGGAAGAUAAAAGCAGGGUCCCCAGAUACAUGGCCAGAGACACAGGACCUUCUCCCCAGAGUUUGAUCCUUGGAGCAAGGGAAGGAGAGGACCAGCCGGGCGAAUCUGGAGCCUGUACUGCGGGCGCGUGGGCAUUCCUGAGCUUGGUCACAGCAGGCGGAGGCCUCAGAGUGGCCGAAGGACUGGGCAAUCCGAGGAAGCCUCCGUUCUUGGAGCUCGGGCCUACCUGUGCCGGGUUCGACCACCUGCCAGACAGAUCCUAGGUAUUUGAAAAAGCAUCUGUUGCAAUGAGUGUUGCUGUUUAUUCUCCUGGCCUCUGUGCACGAGACGCCAAAAGUGUGACAUGCUGGGUUAAAAUUAAAAACAGAAUAAAAAAAAAAAACAAGCCA